rnacentral:rRNA from 1 species
GAUGAACGCUGGCGGCGUGCCUAAUACAUGCAAGUCGAGCGAACAGACGAGGAGCUUGCUCCUCUGACGUUAGCGGCGGACGGGUGAGUAACACGUGGAUAACCUACCUAUAAGACUGGGAUAACUUCGGGAAACCGGAGCUAAUACCGGAUAAUAUAUUGAACCGCAUGGUUCAAUAGUGAAAGACGGUUUUGCUGUCACUUAUAGAUGGACCCGCGCCGCAUUAGCUAGUUGGUAAGGUAACGGCUUACCAAGGCAACGAUGCGUAGCCGACCUGGAGGGGUGAUCGGCCACCCUGGACUUGGAACACGGCCCAGCUCCCAACGGGGGGCAGCGGUGGGAAUUUUGCCGCAAGGGGCGAAAGCCUGACGAGGCAAGGCCGGUGGGUGGUGAAGGGUCUCCGGUUCUAAAACCUCUUUUAUGGGGAAGAAAAAAAUUGUGAAGAAACUAUGCACGGCUGGAGGUAACCCAAUCAGAAGCCCCGGCCUAAUUAGUG